rnacentral:lncRNA from 1 species
UGUAUUUGAAGGUGUACAUUCGACUAGAUAUUUUAAGUUGGUUCUUUGCUAAAGUUGCUCUAAUAUUACUAGUGGAUGUAUACUAUCUGUUUUGAUUAAGUGAGACUAAAUUAUGAUGCGCAAUAUAUACUAAUUAGUUUGUGUCAGUGAUUCUAUCAUUUUCAUGGUUUUUAAUGUGGAAUUGGUGAGAAAUAUAAAAUAUGACAAAAUAAUAAUAUUUAAUAAAUUAU